GAACAACAAUGAAAUUCAAGAAUAGGUUAUGGGUUGUCAAGACUAUCAAAGCAAACAAAGCUCUUAAGAUUGAGAAUCCUUAGAGUUGGUGAUAAGGAAAUUUCCGAGAUUUUGUUGGUGUCAUGAAGGAAGGAAGAACGCCAACAUAAAAUACCAACACCUACUGAUGGGUGUUUGAGUUUUAUCGGGUCAAGCUAAUGACGUUAAAAGAGCGCUUGUUGGGAGGCAAACCAGUUUCUGAAUUUUUAUCUUUUAUUUUGUUUUGAUUUUAUUUUAUUUUAUUCUUUUAUUUUAUUUUAUUUUAUUUUAUUCUUUUAUUUUAUUUUAUUUUUUUAGGUUAUAUGCUACUUCUGAUAGCAGUGAUGAUAGCAUCUACUGAUGGAUGCUUGUUGACAAAUUGGCAAGUGUACCAAAUCGUACAAGUAAUAUAAAUGGUAAGACCAGGUAUCGUUUUUCCCAAGAGACUCGUAAGGCUUUCUCAUUCGUGUGAAUUAAAAUAAUAAGACUUGAAAAAU
rnacentral:lncRNA from 1 species